CCCCACCUAAAACCUUCCCCCAAAAUACUACCUCACAUAACAACUUUUCCCCAAAUAAAACUCCCCCAUAUAAAACCAAUUCCACACACUUUAUAAAACCAUUCUCUACCCAAUAAAAAAAUGGGGGACAGAAAAAAUAGACGCCGGAAAAAUUGAGAAAGAGGCGGGGGAAUUCCAAAGACAGACCCCAACCCCCAUCGCCUCUUCUCAAUCAUAAGCGACCCAGGACGGAAAUUAAAAAGAACAAAAACCUUCCUUUAUCACCAAAUCUCCAUUUUCACCCUAAACCUAGCGGUUGCAGAAAGAAAACGAAGCAGCAUGGACAUUAAGACCUAAGAGGUCAACAGCCUUUUACUUUGAUCACCGGAAAGUGGUGACACCACCAACGACGGAUCUAGCCUGCAACCCCAAACCACAGCAGCGAUUUCGUCUCAUAUACAAAAACGAAGAUAUAUUCUGCUUUUCUUCUUUCAUUUUGUUCUGACUUUCGUCUCAAAAUCAGAAGUGAUGUCCUUUGAUUUUCGUCUUGAAAUGGAGCUGAUUUGAGUUUUGUGUGGUUUCGAAAUAGGUUGUGCCGAUUCGAGAUUUUGUCAAGGUAUAUGCUCGAGAGUCCUGUCCGAUUUGAGUUCCGAUCAUUGUUGUGGUUUGGUUCCAUCCGUCUAUCUGCUGGAAUUUUAUUAACUGAAAGAAAUUUUAGGUUCAUUCUUCUACUCAUGUUUAUAUAUUUCCAUGUUAUGAAUGUGUCGUUUUGAAGCAUCUUGGACCGUUGUUGAUAGUUUUGUGCUAGCGUAUUUCUUUCCAGUUGGUCCUGUGAUAGUUCAGCUCUCUGUUAGUUUGAUUUUGAUCCUUGGUUAUAAGAUAGAAUUAGUUGUUUCUCUAAUAAAGUAGAUAGGUGUUUAAUUUCAUUCAAUCUUCCUAUUUUGUGUUUUUCAUAACUAUAAUCCUGAUAUUCUAUUGUUUGUGACAACUUUCUUGCUACUUGAGAGUAUUUUUUUAGUUAAUAGGUCAAUCUCAAGCUCGUUUAUAUGAUGAAAAGUUAAAAUCGUUUGUCUUUUCUAACGAACGAGUUAUGUUAACUUUGGAUACUGCGUUUAUGACUCAAUACAAAGUGUAGAUAUAGAACUGGAGGGUGAUAUGUGAAUAUAGGACAGACUUAGUGCGCAUACAAUUUUCAUAGAGGGAAGAUCGAGAAUGUCAAUUAGUAUGAUUGGAAAGAUGCUUUGUCAAAGGCUAUUGUGUUGUUUUCUUUUAACACCAAGGAACAAAUAAUUUUUUAUAUUCAAGUCUUGGAUUUGCAUUACUUGUUCACUGUUAUGAAGUCUAACGUGACUUUUUUUAGUUAAAUUAGCAUUGGGUAAUUUGUACCGCCUACCCAUAUAAUGAAAGUUUUCCAUCAUUCCAUUCGUGGUUUACUUUAAUUGAAUACAAUCCUUUAAAAAUUGGAAUCGAGGCGUAUUGCGUCAAACAAAUUUUUUAGUUGCAUGGCUCUCAUUUGAUUAAUCUUAUUUUGUCCUUGGAAUUCAACGUGUGCCAUUUAAUAAAUUCCAUGGCCCUCGGGAAUUUCAAACGUGUAGUUGCUUUUGGAACGUAUUUUAAAAAUUUUACCUUCCUAAAUAUGGGCGGGCAUUUUAUGCGGCCCAUAUCCAAAUCCUCAAACGUUGAAUAGAGUGUUCCUAGGAUUGCGGGUUCAUUUGAUGCGGCGUAAUCCGAAAGCAUACUUUAAACGACGUUCACUUUCUCAAAUAAAUCUAUAUUAUAAAAAGCCGGUAAAAAGUAAAAAUUGGCACAUGGGUUCUUCAUGUAAUAAAAUCAAUUAAAGUUAAAUACAUCAGUUGAGAGACCGUGCUAGAACCACGGAACCCGGAAAUUCCUAACACCUUCUCCCGGGUUUACAGAAUUCCUGAUUAGGAUUUUUGGUUUGCGUACUGUGAACACGGUCAUAUUUUUCCUCGGUUCGGGAUUCAAAUCGGUGACUUGGGACACCAUUAAUCUCCCGAGUGGCGACUCUUAAUAAUUAAUAACCGAAUCUCGUUUCGAAUGUCUUUUAAAUGGAAAAACUCCUUUACGCCCCUUUUGCGGGAGUGUACAGUGAAAAGGGAGGUGUGACAGCUUUGGCGACUCUGCUGUGGACAAGAACCCAGAACGUUUUGUUCAGGGUUCAGAAUUUGAGCUUAGAAUAAUUGUUGUAUUUGGCUUUAUCUGAUUUUGUUACAUGAUAUGUGCUUAAUGUGCUAAUUGAUUGCUUUUACCGCUUUGAUAUUAUGUGAGCUGUAUAUAAAUUGUGCUGAAACCCAUUUCCUCUCUGAGUCUUCUGAAUCGUGAAGAAGGGUGUACGGUGUACGACUUCUUUUCUGUAUAGUGUCAAAUCCCAAUUUAGAACGAGGUUUGGAUAAGUCGCAAAGCCGGGGAAGCUUCUGUAUUCUCGGUUGCUUUUACCGCUUCGAUAUUAUGUGAACUGUAUAUAAACUGUGCCGAAACCCAUCUCCUCUCUGAGUCUUCUGAAUCGUGAAGAAGGGUGUACGGUGUACGACUUCUUUUCUGUAUAGUGUCAAAUCCCAAUUUAGAACGAGGUUUGGAUAAGUCGCAAAGCCGGCGAAAGCUGUCCGCUCGGUUAAGCCAGGUCUUGAACAAACACCCACGUUUUGAACCAAGAAUAACUCAUACUCAUGUCGGAUCCCUAGUAGGAAUGCUUAUUUGCAUCAUAUGCAUUUGACUUAGGGGACUCAACACAGGGGUUGGGUCCGUCUAGGGCUAGCAACCUAAAAUGAAAAGACCAUCCUGAUGAAUCAUACUUGCUACGUACAUAUAUUUGUUGCGAACAUACAUGUUGACUGGCUUCUGAAUCUCGGCAAUGUUUGAAAAUUGAGAAAAAGAGAAAAGAGAAAAAGAGAGAAAUAACGUUAGGGAGUUAAUUUAUUAUCUUAGAAAAAUGAAUGACCAAGUGCCGUCGAAACAUUGCCAAAAUUUUGAGACAAUGAAAAAAAGAAGAAAAUAUUUUAUUUUGUUUUACUAAAAAAUAAGUAAAGGAAAAAUAGAAAAAAAAUAGUCUUUCAUUUUUUGGAAAAUUGUUUGCUGAAAAAGAAAAAAGAAAAAGAGUCUUUUAGUUUGGUAAAAAUAUAUUGUUUUAUUGUUUGUAGAAAAAGAAAAAUGGGAAAAAAGAGUCUUUCAUUGUUGGAAAAUUGUUUGCUGAAAAAGAAAAAAGAAAAAGAGUCUUUUAGUUUGGUAAAAUAGGUUGUUUUAUUAUUUGUUUAAAAAGAAAAAUGGGAAAAAAGAGUCUUUUAUUUUUGAAAAGUUGUUUUAUUGUUUGUUGAAAAUUAAAAAGAAAAAAAAGAGAGCUGUAUUCACAAUUGGCAUAUAGGAGAAGGAAUCUGUCAUUUUGUUUUUGGGUUUGUAUUUCUUUUGAUUAGAGUAUAUAGGUCGUUUGAUUUUCGAGUCUGUAUUUCAUCGUUAAGUUGGCCAGUUUUGCUGUUAUUAUGAAAAUGAAAAAUUCCAAAAAAAUAUUUUAUUGUCGUUUACCUUUUAUUUGCAAGAACUACGUAUGGUCUGAUUCAUGCGGGGUCAUGAUAAGUAGGCAAUCUCCAUAAGAUUUGACCACAACUCAAAAAAAAAGAAAAAAAAGAAGAAAAGCAAAAGAAAAGUGAAAAAUGAAAAGAAGAAAUGAAUAAAAAUGGGAAAAGAUGUUAUUGAUAAUGAGGACCGACUCAAUCCAUUCUAACAUGUUUUGUUUUCAAUUGUGAAGAAAGUUGAGGUGGUUGGUUUGUGGUAGCUCAUCCAUACAAUACAAGGUCAAAUAGCAAGGCAGUCAUGGCGGGCAAAGGUUUGAACACAGGUAUUACUAAUCCGUCUAGGGGCAUUGUUGAGUCAGAGUCAAAAUUAAAAGAAGAGGUUUUGAGGUCGAAAAGACAAAUAGUCGGAGUGCACAAAGCUUGGGCCAGCAGGUGUCCUCCGUCAUCAGUCCCCAAUGCCCAACAAUACGUUCCAGAACCAAUUUUCAAGGCCUCAAGUCCAUACCAUCACGCUCUUCAUUUUAGGUCUCCGGGUGAGACUACAAAGCUUGCUAAAACAGUGGAGCAGAAUGAGAUAUCCAGAAAGCUGGAAGGGUUUAAGAUGCCGAAGUUUAAUUUGUAUGAUGGGUGGGGAGAUCCAGUGGACCAUAUGAGGGAUUAUUGCAAUAAAAUGAGGAAUGUCGGCAACGAAGAUGAGUUGUUGAUGUCAUAUUUCAGGGAGAGCCUGACUGGGGCAGCAUUAGAAUGAAAUGAUCGUCAAUAUGUCAGGAAGUGGCACACGUUGGGCGAUAUGGCUCAAGAUUUUGUGCGACAUUUUGAGUACAAAAAAGAUAUCAUCCCAAACCAGUCCUCCCCAUAUCAGACAGAAAAGAAACCCAAGGGAAGUUUCAGGGAAUUUUGGAUCAUAUGGAACGAACAAGUUUCUCAGGAUACUCCUUCCAUUGAUAAAAAAGAUAUUUUUGAGCCACUCCAACGACAGAUACCAGUGGUCGUUCCUGCCAAGUGUCUUCAACCUCAACUCCAAUCCCAAACCUGUCCCCGAGCCUCACCUAAGCUACCUCAGCAUUAUCCUCCAAACAAAGGUCGGUCAGGUCUCCAAACACUAGGUCACUCCCACUGCGUGCGACAAGGCCCGGUGGUCGUUCUUGGUAAAUGCUUUCAGCCUCCAUACCGACCCCGUGAACGUCCCCAAAUUCCACAUAAGCCACCUCAAUACUAUCCUCCGAACAAUAUAUGGUCAUAUGUCCAACCACUAGGUCAUUCCUUCCAUCGGCAACAGAGUCCAGUGAACGUUCUUGCUUAGCCCAACGGAUAUCCUUGUAUACCAGGUGACCCACCACAAUGCUAUGUCACUGGAUCAGGUUUCCAGCCAAAUCAAGCAUUUAGGAAUGAGAGGUUGCAGAAAAAAAAAAGCCUAAAGUCCCUUAGGAGAGUCAUACGCCAAUUUGAUUCAGAGGCUAAGGAGUUCGGGCGUGUUGAAGCCUAUUCAGACAAACGUACCAAUCCAUCUUUCAAAGAAGUUGGAUUUUUACCAAAGAUGCGUAUAUUGCUCAAAUGCCCCGGGGCAUGACAUAGAAAAAUGUUGGAGGCUAAAGAAAAUAAUCCAGGAGCUUACUGACGCAGGCGACAUCGUGCUGCCAAAUUUAGAUGGAACUGACACCAAGCAAAGUCCAUUGCUUGUGCAAAAUGAGACGCACAUGGCGGAUAUGAUUUCCUUGGAAAAUUUAUUUGAAGGCCUCGGUAUUGUUGAUGCGGAACUCAGUGGCUAAGAUGUCGAGCUUUGUAAUAGGAAAGACACUUCAUCUCUUGGCCAUGUGGAGAGAAGUCUUGGUGGUUUAUUUUGUUGUCAUUUCUGUUGUCUGAGUUAUUUUCAGGGUUGUAGUCCGGAUAUUGACUUGUGAUUCAAACCCAUCUAUCCUUUUAUUUGUCUAGUUCCUUUAGUCGUCAUAUCUUAUGUAGUGUUAUCUAGGUUUUUUUUAGGAUUGUACCCCAGUUUGUGUUGCUUGUUUUGUUGUUAAACCCUUUCACCGUUUGUUUAAUACAAUUCUCAAUUUUCUGCAAUUUCUAGUCAUUCUUGUUUAGUUCUCUUUUCUUUCUACAAAUCUUUUCCUGUUGGCUCUAGUGACAUGGCAUGCAUACAUAACUCUCUGUCGGAUUUUUAAAAGCUAUGUUGGUUGGGAAGCAGUGAAACCAUUUUGAAGACGAUGAGAGCAUUUGAGGAAAUAAGAAUAGAUUUAGACAUUGUGAAAUUGUUUGACGCCCGAACCAUCUGAAACCGGGGCAAGUAAAACAUAAAAAAUCCCCACAAAAGCAAGUUGGCCAAAUUGACAGGGGGUAGGUCAUGGUAAUAAGAGUAAGAGUGUGGCCCAAUGGUAGAUUUUAUCAGACAGAUGUAGAUAGAAAAUGUUGGAAAUGGCCGUCAAUUCCGAUGCAUUCAAGAUAUAUUGUGAAUGGUUUCUGUAUUUUGAUUGUACCUGUUUGUACUUGGCAUAUUCUGAGGGUUGAAAUGACGAAGGCGUUUUGUUCUACUAUCCAAAAAAAUUUUUCCAUUAUCACCCCUUUUGAGCCGUUUUUUUAGUUUCUUUUAUACACCUCUUUUGGAAUAAAUGGCACAAUCAAAGAAACACAAGUGACGGAGAUAAGCAAAUGGAGAAAGAAUAGAAAAAAGGAAGGAAAUGAAGAAGAAGAGAAAAGGAUAAAGAAAUGAAAAAAGGAAGAAAAAAAGAAAAGAAAAGAAAAGAAAGAAAGGGAAAAAAAGAAAAGAAAGAAAAAGAGAAAUGAAGAAAGAAAAGAAAAAGCAAGAAAAAAAACAAAGAAAAUUACAGCAACGUAGUUUUUAUGGCGUGAACUACGUUUGACUUGAUCCCGAAAGGGUACGUAGGCAGCCUCUUUGAGGCCCAGUCAUACCAAAUAAAAUUUCAAAAGGUCCCCAAGCAAGAAACUGGGGCAGAAGUUGUGAUUGUUGAAAGAAAUAGGAUUCCGAAAGUUGUAGUUUUAACCCCAUCUUGAGUUGUUUUGAGCCUUUUAUACCAUUUCUUUCUAACCUAUCUAAGAGCCUACAUUACGGUCCAAAGGAAGACCUUCUUAUCAGUCUUUGAGAAAUUUCAAGUCAAGUAGGUAAGGUAAUUCAUGUCAGGGACAACACUCCGGUCCAAGCAAGAAAAAUAGAGCUAGAUUGAUGAAAACCCUCAUGGGUAUUGCAAUUCGAUGAAAGUUGAGGGAAAUAAAAUGAGAGAGCCUUAUUGGUGAAAACCUUCACAGGCACCUUGAGGCGAUGGUAAGUUGAGAGAAAAAAACAAAUGAGAGAGGUUUGACGGUGAAAACUUUUUGGGCACUACAAGCCGAAUAAGGAAUGCAAAUCAGAUAGGAUAAGCGGCGCACCGAAGCCUAGUUUCACGGUGAAAAGGUACAACAAGAGCUGAACAUCAGGUUUGAUUGGCAGAAUAUAUACAGGUGCAUGUCAUAGUCAUUAGAGUUAGCAUCCACAUUUGAUAGGUUUCUACUUUGUAGUGUCUUGUUUAGGAAUCAUCUCUUUACUGUGUCCUUCACUUCGUUCCUCUGUUUGCUUACUUCCUCUUUUUUAUUCGGUUGGUUAUAACAAGUGAGAAAUGACUUCAAAAUUUAUCACCAGCUUUCCAAUUGCACAAAUGGGGUCUGGCUAGCAUAUCAAAGUGUCCCAAGUCAAGAGAACAACAAAAGCACUGGGCUCGUAAUAAUAAUGCUUUGGGGAUCCUUGUGAAGCACAAAGGUCAGGAAAAUGCCAGUUCAUGAGUGGUGUAACAAACAGAAGAUAUAGGGUUUGAAUGAAGAAAAGAUAUGUUUGAUGACACAGAUGACGGAGAAAGUGGUUAAUCAGUGAACAUGCAAAGCAUGGAAAGGAGAAAAGGAAAGUCAUCCCAACAGGAGUACCACAACCAACCACCGCGCUUUAAACUGACAUAUUUUUUUUAUUUGAAACAGGGGCAUGGAAGUGUUAUGCUACAGGAAGAUUAUCAAAAUGGGCAGAAAAAUUUUCUGUCAUGUUGAAAAUUUUCUUGAAGUCGGGUAUUCAUCUGAAGAACAUGAAGGUCAAUACAAGUUUUUCUCAGAGAGGUAAGUAGUUUUCAGGAAAGAAACACCAGUUUUAAGAAAAAUAAUUUUUGGAGGAUUGAAACAUUGUUUUUAGGGAAAUCGUUUUGAAGGAGGACAACACCACUAUAUAAGGGAGCAGUUCUGGAGGAAGAUAAUUCAAGUUAGAGGGUAGAUAAGACAAGUUUUGGAGAAAAAUGAUUGAUAGAAAGCUUAGUCUGAUGAAUUUUUCACCUAAGAUAAAAAUCUUAGUCUGUUGAAUCUCUAACCUAAGAUAGGAAUCUUAGUCUGUUGAAUUUUUUACCGAAGAUAAAAAUCUUAGUCUGAUGAAUUCACCUAGAUAAAGACAUAAGUUGGAAAAAGGAAAGGAAAGCAUAAUUUGGAAAACAGGGGAAGACAAAAGUUGGAAAAGAGAAAAGAAGACAUAAUUUGGAAAAGAGGGGAAGGCAGAAUUCGGGAAAAAAAAGGAAAAGGAAGGCAUAAUUUGGGAAAAGAAAGGAAGACAUAGUUUGGGAAAAAGAAAGGAAGGCACAAUUUGUAAAAGAAGGAAUGGGAUGUUUGAAUUUGAAAGAUUAAGAAAGUCUGAAUUCGAAAAUUGGGCCUAGUUUGAUGAAUUAUCUCAUAGAGUCAAAAUCUCAGUCCGAUGGAUCUUCUCCUGAGAUCACGCAAAUGGACCUAGUCUGAUGAAUUAUCUCCUAGAGUCAGAAUCUUAGUCUGUUGAAACUUUCACUAAGACGAAAAUCUUGGUCUGAUGAAUUUUUCGCCUAAGAUAAAGAUAAAAAUCUUAGUCUAUUGAAUCUUUCUCCUAAAAUGAAAAUGUUAGUCUGAUGAAUUUUUCACCUAAGAUAAAGAUAAAAAUCUUAGCUGUUGAAUCUUUCUCCUAAGAUGAAAAUCUUAGUCUGAUGAAUUUUUCACCUAAGAUCUAAGAUAGAAAAGUCUUAGUCUGUUGAAUCUUUCUCCUAAGAUGAAAAUUUUAGUCUGAUGAAUUUUUCACCUAAGAUAAAUUUCAAAUUUGAAGGUAUAUUUCAGUCCUUAAAUUUUUAAAGUUGCAUUUCAGUGUUAUUACAAUUCAAGUUUUAGUUUUCAAAUUCAUAUUAGUAUCCAGUAACAAGCAUCCAGUUUUCCAAACUAGGGCAGAAAGUUUUCUUCAUUUUGUUUAUUUUUAUGAAGUCACGAGCCCGCCUGGAUAAUAGAGGAAUACAUUCAAUUUCAAAUUCAGCAGUCAGGAGCCUGGCUGAAGAACAGAAGUGUUAAAAUUCGAAUUUUAGUUUUCAAUAAAUUUCUUCGUCUUUUUGAAGUCAGGAGCCCGCCUGAAGAACAGAGGCAUACAAUUCAAGUUUCGGAAGUCAGGAACCCGCCUGUUGACAAAGUAGUUGAAGAAGGAAAAACUUCUCAAUUUACAAUUCAAAACAACAACAAUGGAUUUCACUUGGAGAACAAGGGAAGACAAUACAAAUUUCCAGGGAAAGUAGUGUCGACGGAAGACAACUCAAGUUUCAAGAGAAAGCAGUUUUGAAGGAAAAAAGUUCAAGUUUCAAGGGAAAAUGGUUCAAUGUGACGGGCAGGUUUGACCUUGAGGCACAAUAUUCGAGAUGGUAGAAAGAAUGAGUCUCAAUCCAAAAUAAAGAAUAGAUGAAAAAGAACAAAAGAAGUGAGCUCCAAAAUUCAGAAGCAGGAAAAGAUGUGAACUGCUCAAGACGUAGUGGAAGUCAUGAACACUACAUGUCCGAUCUUGAUCCAAAAGCUGAAGAAGAUUGGACAAACACCUGUGGCUAACAAGUAUCAAGAUUCAGAUCAAGGUCCGCAUGAAGCACCAACCAAGGCUCAAGAUCAAUCUUCAGAAGACUCAUAGAUAUGUAGGCAACCUUUGAAGCAAGGUUCGGUCACACAGUAUUUCAAAAAAAGCUUCCCAUGGAGUUUCAAAUGGGUAAAAUCCCUCACAGUGCUUACUUUAUCUUUGCCCGAAAACUCUUCGUGUUUGCGAUCAAAGAGGGGAAACUGUAAGCAUGUGAUUUUGGCCCUACAUGAAGAUAACUCCUAAAAAUAAUUCAAAAUAAUUAUUAUUAAUUUUUAGGAAUUCUUUUUCAUUUUUUUAGUCGCAUUUCAUGCAUUUUAAUAUUUUAAAAUCAAAUAAUAAAUACCAAAAAUACUUGGAAUUUGCAUUUAGAAUUUAAUUUUACAUUUUAGAAGUAAUUAGUAGUUGAGUUACAUUUUGUUUUAAUUUGUUUAGUUUGCAUUUAAAUAGGGAGUUUGUGUAAUUGAAAAUUUGGAAGUAUAAUUUUAAAGCCAAUUUGAGUUUUGGUUUUUAAUUUAGCAUUUAACAAAAUCAGAAAAUAAAAUACAAAAUAAAUAAAUAAAAUACAAAAACAGAGAGGAAGAUAAAAAGAAAUUAGGAGUAAAAAAUGGGAAGAAUCUUUUCCAAAAUAUUUCCUCCCAAAAUAUUUCCCCACCUAAAACCUUCCCCCAAAAUACUACGUCACAUAACACCUUCUCCCCAAAUAAAAUCCCCCAUAUAAUGCCUCAUUCCACACACUUUAUAAGAUCAUUCUCUACCCAAUAAAAAAAGGGGGGACACAAAAACUAGACGCCGGAAAAACUAAGAAAGAGGCGGGGAAAUUCCUAAUACAGACCCCACCCCCAAUCGUUUUGAUAUCCUUCCUUAGAGAGUAAAAGGCAAAAAAUUCCAUGGCCUCUUCUUAAUCAUAAACAACCCAGGACAGAAAUUAAAAAAAACAAAAGCCUUCCUUCAUCACCAAAUCUCUAUCUUCACCCUCAACCUAGCGGUUGAAGAAAGAAAACGAAGCAGCGGGGACAUUAAAACCUACGAGGACAGAAGCCUUUUCCUUUGAUCACGGGCAAGUGGUGACACCACCAACGACGAAUCUGGCCUAUAACCCCAAACCACAUCCCCGAUUCCGUCUCUUAUACAAAAACGAAGAUAUAUUCUGGUUUUCUUCUUUUAUUUUCUUCCGACUUCCGUCUCAAAAUAGAAGUGUUAUCCUUUUGAUUUUCAUCUUGAAAAUGGAGCUGAUUUGAGUUUCUGUGUGGUUUCGAAAUUGGUUAUGCCGAUUUGAGGUUCUGUUAAGGUCCAUGCUGGAGAGUCCUCUACGAUUUGAGUUCCGAUCGUGGUUGUGUUUGGUUCCAUCCGUGUAUCUGCUGGAAUUUUAUUAACCGAAAGAAAUUUCAGGUUCAUUCUUCUGCUCAUGUUUAUAUAUUUUAAUGCUAUAAAUGUGUCGUUUUGAAGCAUCUUGGCCCGUUGUUGAUAGUUUUGUGCUAGCGUAUUUCUUUCCAGUUGGUCCUGUGAUAGUUCAGCUAUCUGUUAGUUUGAUUUUGAUCCUUGGUUAUAAGAUAGAAUUAGUUGUUUCUCUAAUAAUAGUAGAUAUGUGUUUAGUUUCGGUCAAUCUUCCUAUUUUGUAUUUUGUAUCACUAUAAUCCAGAUAUUCUGUAGUUGUACCUACUGCCUUGCUACUUGAGCGUAUUUUUUAGUUAAUAGGUCAAUCUCAAGCUCGUUUGUAUCAUGAAAAGUUAAACUCGUCUGUCUUUUCUAACGAACAAGUUAUUUAACUUUGGAUAUUGUGUUUAUGACUCAAUACAAAAUGUAGAUGUAGAACUGGAGGGUGAUAUGAGAAUAUAGGACAGACUUAGUGCGCAUACAGUUUUCAUAGAGGGAAGAUCGAGAAUGUCAAUUAGUAUCAUUGGAAAGAUGCUUUGUCAAAGGCUAUUGUGUUGUUUUCUUUUAAAUAACAUUUUUUAUUCGUCUUGGAUUUGCGUUACUUGUUCAGUGUUAUCAAGUCUAACGUUACUUUUUUUAGUUGAAUUAGCAUUGGGUAAUUGGUACCAACUAGCCAUAUCUUUAGUUGAGUACAAUCCUUUAAAAAUUGGAAUCGAGGCGUGUCAUGCCAAAUAUAACGUAUUCGAUUGGUCUAUGUUUCUUUAGCAUAAUGUAACGUAUUCGUUGUGAUUUUACUAGAUUCGACGCAGGAAGAGAUCGAUUCAAGAGGAAAAGGGCAUUGCGGAUUAGCCUACGACCGGUUAUAGGUGAGUAGUCUUUAUAGAUGAUGUCCUGAGGGUUUGAUACCUCGGUUUAUCACACGAUGACGCUAUCAGGGAGUACUCGCACCCCAUGGAAGUUGUGGGGCUGUUCAUGACUGGGGAUUGACUUUGCCGAUCUCGAACAAUAAUGUCUACAUUUGCGACUGAUACGUACCCUGUAUUGAAUAUAUCUGGGCUCAUUACCAUGUUCGGGACCUUGUGCCGAUCUGUAGCAUCCUCAGAGGAUGAAUAUCUUUGUGAUAGCGUGAUUUGUAUAAUCAUUGAUCUAAGUCCUGUGUUUAAUCACUGUAUGAAAUGCUAAGUCACUUUUUUCCUGAAGUUAAAUAACUAAAUUAUAUUAUUCUUAAUAACUGGAAGCUGGGAAAUGAAUUGAAUCUGUUAUGUGACUCAUAUGCAUACUGUGGACUGAGUAUAGAUUGGGUUGCACGCCGCAAUGAUAAUAUGAGGAUAUUGCGCUUGGGCUGUAGGAGCCCUCCGGAGUCUGUACACACCCCCAGUGAGCGCCGUCAACGUUAAAUGGAUCAAGCAGUACACCGGCAGCGGGUCAUGUGCAUUGCAUUGCAUUCUUGCAUUUUACUUGACUGAUAUACUUGAUAUUGCUUUGCUGUUGGUUCAUAGUUAAGCUGUCGGACUGUUAGCUUUAGCUUUAUUUUGUGGCAUUUCAUGGAUUCUUAUCUUCAGACAUUUUAUAUACUUAUUACUCACUGAGUUGGUAGCUGUCGGACUGUUAGUUUUUAGCUUUACUUUGUGGCAUUUCGUGGAUUUCUUAACUUCAGACAUUUUAUAUGCUUAUUACUCACUGAGUUGGUAGUACUCACCCCUACUCCCUGCACCUUGUGUGCAGAUUCAGGUGCACCGGAGGUUUAGCUGAGCAUUCGUUGUCUCUAGAGUUUAUCAGAGUUGUUGAGGUAGCUGCUUGACGUUCGCAGGACCUGACUGCUCCUCCUAUUUCAGUUUUAUUUAUUUAUACUUUUCCAUAAUUGUGUAUUUUCAUACAUAUAAUUUUCAUCCAGUUUAUUUUAGAAGCUCUAGACUCGUGACCCCAGAUCUUAUGGGAGUGUAUUAUCAUAUUUCGUA
rnacentral:lncRNA from 1 species